AACGAACGCUGGCGGCAGGCUUAACACAUGCAAGUCGAACGCCCCGCAAGGGGAGUGGCAGACGGGUGAGUAACGCGUGGGAAUCUACCCAUCCCUACGGAAUAACGCAUGGAAACGUGUGCUAAUACCGUAUACGCCCUACGGGGGAAAGAUUUAUCGGGGAUGGAUGAGCCCGCGUUGGAUUAGCUAGUUGGUGGGGUAAAGGCCUACCAAGGCGACGAUCCAUAGCUGGUCUGAGAGGAUGAUCAGCCACAUUGGGACUGAGACACGGCCCAAACUCCUACGGGAGGCAGCAGUGGGGAAUAAUGGACAAUGGGCGCAAGCCUGAUCCAGCCAUGCCGCGUGAGUGAUGAAGGCCUUAGGGUUGUAAAGCUCUUUCACCGGAGAAGAUAAUGACGGUAUCCGGAGAAGAAGCCCCGGCUAACUUCGU
rnacentral:rRNA from 1 species